CUACGGGUGGCAGCAGUGAGGAAUAUUGCACAGUGGGGGGAACCCUGAUGCAGCAACGCCGCGUGGAGGAUGACGCAUUUCGGUGUGUAAACUCCUUUUAUAUGUCAAGAAAAUGACGGUAGCAUAUGAAUAAGCACCGGCUAACUCCGUGCCAGCAGCCGCGGUAAUACGGAGGGUGCAAGCGUUACUCGGAAUCACUGGGCGUAAAGGACGCGUAGGCGGGUUGGAAAGUCAGGUGUGAAAUCCCACAGCUUAACUGUAGAACUGCACUUGAAACUUCUAAUCUAGAGUAUGGGAGGGGGAGAUGGAAUUAGUGGUGUAGGGGUAAAAUCCGUAGAUAUCACUAGGAAUACCUAAAGCGAAGGCGAUCUCCUGGAACAUUACUGACGCUAAGGCGUGAAAGCGUGGGGAGCAAACAGGAUUAGAUACCCUAGUAGUC
rnacentral:rRNA from 1 species